CUUCUCUUAGAGCUGCUGCCGCCUCUGCUAGGGUUCCAGAGCGCACCUUCUGUUCACAUUCCGCUUAACUCCGUUCUUGACCCACCUCUGUGAUCUCCUCCUAGAGUUGUGGUACUCCGCUGUUCUGUGUCGGGACACUUUAAACUAGCUUGUUCCAGGAGCAGAUGGACGAGAUUCUCGUGACCAACAAGGAAAUGGAGAUUUCGCUGCCUAGUCCGCGUGGAUUGGACUAUAGCUUCCUUUGGACUUUUCUUUAGGGCUAUGGCCCCUGUAUUUCACUGUUCUUGGAUUUGUAAACUUUUAGUCA